rnacentral:lncRNA from 10 species
AUUGGAUCUUCUCCCUAAUCAAGAAAAGAAACAGCACAAAAUGGAAUCCAGGCAAACAGAACAAGACAAAAAACAGAAGGAGUUGAGUGAUGGUAGAUAUCAGGCCCUGGUCUGCGGCUUGGAAGUUUCCUGUGAAUAAGAAAAACAUCAUCGCUUCUUGAGUCACAAGGAUGAUAGGAUGAGAAAAAGAAAGGACAAAGGCACCAGAGGAGGUAUGCCAAAUGGGAAACUUUUCAUCACUUUCCAGAUAAAAACUAGCAGUCUGUGAAGGCAACUGGUCUGAUUUUUCAGGUAAGAACAUAUGAGAGGCAGGCUGAGACCAAUUUUCUACCAGGCCAGCUAAUUCAUCACAAUGACAAGCUAUGGGUCAUAUGCUUUCAGGAACCAGACACUGGAACAUGUCGUCUGAUGUACAUCACACCAGUACAGUGCAGUGGAAGAGAGAAAGUUAAAAGGGAAAUAAAAAAAGAAUUGGAAAGCCAAUGUCCAAUUAUUUACUAAAACAGAAUCCACUGGAGAGAAAUGCAAAGGCAGGUAAAAAGGCAAUCUCUUAACAUGAAAACUCACAACUGUAAAAUGAGAACCUAAACUAUACAGCGACAAACUCAGGAAAAAGUCUCCAGCUACUGCUGUCUCUCAGACUCUCACAGUAUGUGUAACCACUUCCUCCUCUGCACGGAAUCACCCCAGAAGAUCAACUCUACUAGAUCAUUUGAGGACAAUGAACAAAGUCUCAAGACUGAAUUCCCACAGAAAACAUUCUCAUGAAACCACCCAAUAUUCUGGUGAAGUUAAAGAAGGGCAUGUGUUCGGAGACAACCAGAAGCAGCAAUGCUCAAAACCACAAAACUCUGGAUUGCCGACUCUGCACAUCCUGGUUCCUCUAGAUACAGUUCAGUGGCACAUUCACAAAUAAACGUUUUCAAAAACUGCCCUCAGGCAGUUCUAGAGAAAUGCUUUGACUUGCCUAAUGGUAUAAUGUCAAGAAAGGAAGACGAGCACUGAUCAUUCAUACUCAUUAUUACAGUCACAGGGCACUGUCUGACUUGACAGAUACAGCCGAGCAGUUAAAAGGUUAUGGGAAUUUAAGUCCAUUAUGGUCAUACGAUUCUUAUGGACCCAGAGAUAUGAAAUUAAUCAGCCACAUGUGUAGGGACAAAGUUUGUCAUAAAUAGAUAUAAGUUAUCUGCAUGCUAAGAACUUAGUUACUUAACUCUGUUUCCUCAUGUUAAUAUAAACAUAAUUAUAGAAUGCAAAUGAAAUACUUAGCCUGGAGCCUAUUAUAUAGGAAGCACUCAAUAAUUUCAAACUAUUGAGUAUAUUAUUAGAUAGGCUCCAUAAUUAUUUAUUCCUUUUUCAACAGACAGUAUGAUCUAUUGAAAAUAAAGCCAAACUAGAUUUCUUUGACCCACUCCUUUUUCUGUUUGUAUUGUUGGCAAGUUGUUCUAAAUCAACUUGCCAACAUACUAUUAACAUGUUAUUAACAUAGAAGGGAUGCUUAUUUUGUUUGCUUUGUAAGAAAUGCUUCUGAUUCAGUAACUGGGCAAUUUAUUUAAAUAUAAGUAAAAAGCAGAUUUUAUUAAAAACUACUUUGUGCUAUCAUAAAUAAC